AGUCGGCAAAGGAUGAAUCUCAUUAACAAAUGGGUAAUUUGCGUCUGAAUUGUUCUCAUGAUGCUAAAUCACCUUGGAGAACUGAUGCCUUCU